GAAAAAUUAACGAUUUCUCUAGUGAAAAGACUUCACACGCAUCGAUCUUUUUGUUGUUGCUCGAAAUAAACCAAGUUCACUAUGCGAAGCUCUAAAACUUCGAGUAAAUCGAUAAACCCUAAGCCAAGUCUGAAUGAAUAUAGUCGUCAGUGUCACCAUCUGUCAAGGUGUACACGUAGUCCUGCACACGAAUUGUAUCGAGAUAAAUAAACGCCACUCCCGAUCGAAAAAACGAGGCCAUUACGUAUGUGAAGCCAUCUUCGUAGCCUGUGGAAGACUGUCCUCGUAGAUUUCAAAAAUGAAAAGUCGAACGCGAUAACCGUAAAAAAAUCUUAAAAAUUGCUAUAUAAAAAU
rnacentral:misc_RNA from 1 species